rnacentral:rRNA from 1 species
CCUACGGGGGGCUGCAGUGGGGAAUAUUGCACAAUGGGGGAAACCCUGAUGCAGCGACGCCGCGUGAGCGAUGAAGGAUUUCGGUAUGUAAAGCUCUAUCAGCAGGGAAGAAAAGGACGGUACCUGACUAAGAAGCCCCGGCGAACGACGUGCCAGCAGCCGCGGUAAUACGUAGGGGGCAAGCGUUAUCCGGAUUUACUGGGUGUAAAGGGAGCGUAGACGGCUUGGCAAGCCAGAUGGGAAAGGCUGGGGCUCAACCCCAGGACUGCCUUUGGAACUGUCAUGCGAGAGUGUCGGAGAGGCCGGCGGACUUCCUCGUGUAGCGGUGAAAUGCGUAGAUAUUAGGAG